rnacentral:rRNA from 1 species
GAUGAACGCUGGCGGCGUGCCUAAUACAUGCAAGUCGAGCGAACGGACGAGAAGCUUGCUUCUCUGAUGUUAGCGGCGGACGGGUGAGUAACACGUGGAUAACCUACCUAUAAGACUGGGAUAACUUCGGGAAACCGGAGCUAAUACCGGAUAAUAUUUUGAACCGCAUGGUUCAAAAGUGAAAGACGGUCUUGCUGUCACUUAUAGAUGGAUCCGCGCUGCAUUAGCUAGUUGGUAAGGUAACGGCUUACCAAGGCAACGAUGCAUAGCCGACCUGAGAGGGGGAGCGGGCCCCCCGGAAAGUGGAAACGGGCCCGACCCCCCAGGGGGGCAGGAGGGGGGAAAUUUCCCGAAAGGGGGAAAAGCUUAGCGAGACAACCCCGGGGGGGGAUGAAGGGUUUCGGGUUUGAAAAACCUUUUUUUAGGGAAAAAAAAUAGGUGGAAGAAACUGUGCCCAUCUGGCGGGAACUAAAUCAAAAGCCCAGGGUAACUUCGGG